rnacentral:rRNA from 1 species
CCCUUAGAUGUCCUGGGCCGCACGCGCGUUACACUGAUGCAUUCAACGAGCUUAUAACCUUGGCCGAGAGGCCUGGGUAAUCUUGUUAACGUGCAUCGUGAUAGGGAUAGAUUAUUGAAAUUAUUAAUCUUGAACGAGGAAUUCCUAGUAAACGCAGAUCAUCAAUCUGCAUUGAUUACGUCCCUGCCCUUUGUACACACCGCCCGUCGCACCUACCGAUUGGAUGGUCCGGUGAAGCCUCGGGAUUGUGGUUCUUGCCGCUUUAUUGUGGCGUGACCGCGAGAACUUGUCUAAACCUUAUUAUCUAGAGGAAGGUGAAGUCGUAACA